rnacentral:rRNA from 1 species
AACGAACGCUGGCGGCAUGCCUAACACAUGCAAGUCGAACGAGACCUUCGGGUCUAGUGGCGCACGGGUGCGUAACGCGUGGGAACCUGCCCUUAGGUUCGGAAUAACUCCCCGAAAGGGGUGCUAAUACCGGAUAAUGUCUUCGGACCAAAGAUUUAUCGCGUUUGGAUGGGCCCGCGUUGGAUUAGCUAGUUGGUAGGGUAAAAGCCUACCAAGGCGACGAUCCAUAGCUGGUCUGAGAGGAUGAUCAGCCACACUGGGACUGAGACACGGCCCAGACUCCUACGGGAGGCAGCAGUGGGGAAUAUUGGACAAUGGGCGAAGGCCUGAUCCAGCAAUGCCGCGUGAGUGAUGAAGGCCUUAGGGUUGUAAAGCUCUUUUACCCGGGAUGAUAAUGACAGUACCGGGAGAAUAAGCUCCGGCUAACUCCGUG